AUUGAACGCUGGCGGCAGGCUUAACACAUGCAAGUCGAGCGAGCGGCGGACGGGUGAGUAAUGUCUGGGAAACUGCCUGAUGGAGGGGGAUAACUAAUGGAAACGGUAGCUAAUACCGCAUACCAUCAGAUGUGCCCAGAUGGGAUUAGAUAGUAGGUGGGGUAAUGGCUCACCUAGGCGACGAUCCCUAGCUGGUCUGAGAGGAUGACCAGCCACACUGGAACUGAGACGCGGUCCAGACUCCUACGUGAGGCAGCAGUGGGAAAGAUUGCACAAUGGGCGCAAGCCUGAUGCAGCCAUGCCGCGUGUAGGAAGAAGGCCUUCGGGUUGUAAAGUACUUUCAGCGGGGAGGCGUUACUCGCAGAAGAAGCACUGGCUAACUCCGUGCCAGCAGCCGCGGUAAUUC
rnacentral:rRNA from 1 species